CCUACGGGAGGCUGCAGUGAGGAAUAUUGGUCAAUGGACGAGAGUCUGAACCAGCCAAGUAGCGUGAAGGAUGACUGCCCUAUGGGUUGUAAACUUCUUUUAUAUGGGAAUAAAAUGUUCCACGUGUGGGAUUUUGUAUGUACCAUAUGAAUAAGGAUCGGCUAACUCCGUGCCAGCAGCCGCGGUAAUACGGAGGAUCCGAGCGUUAUCCGGAUUUAUUGGGUUUAAAGGGAGCGUAGGUGGAUUGUUAAGUCAGUUGUGAAAGUUUGCGGCUCAACCGUAAAAUUGCAGUUGAAACUGGCAGUCUUGAGUACAGUAGAGGUGGGCGGAAUUCGUGGUGUAGCGGUGAAAGGCUUAGAGAUCACGAAGAACUCCGAUUGCGAAGGCAGCUCACUGGACUGCAACUGACACCGAGGCUCGAAAGUGUGGGUAUCAAACAGGAUGAGAUACCCCUGUAGUC
rnacentral:rRNA from 1 species